GGUUGUAGCUCAGUGGUAUAGCACUUGCCUAGCAUGUGUGAAGCACUGGGUUUGAUUCUCAGCACCA
rnacentral:tRNA from 1 species